rnacentral:rRNA from 1 species
AUGCACGCUGGCGGCGUGCCUAAUACCUGCAAGUCGAGCGAACGGACGAGAAGCUUGCUUCUCUGAUGUUAGCGGCGGACGGGUGAGUAACACGUGGAUAACCUACCUAUAAGACUGGGAUAACUUCGGGAAACCGGAGCUAAUACCGGAUAAUAUUAUGAACCGCAUGGUUCAAAAGUGAAAGACGGUCUUGCUGUCACUUAUAGAUGGAUCCGCGCUGCAUUAGCUAGUUGGUAAGGUAACGGCUUACCAAGGCAACGAUGCAUAGCCGACCUGAGAGGGUGAUCGGCCACACUGGAACUGAGACACGGUCCAGACUCCUACGGGAGGCAGCAGUAGGGAAUCUUCCGCAAUGGGCGAAAGCCUGACGGAGCAACGCCGCGUGAGUGAUGAAGGUCUUCGGAUCGUAAAACUCUGUUAUUAGGGAAGAACAUAUGUGUAAGUAACUGUGCACAUCUUGACGGUACCUAAUCAGAAAGCCACGGCUAACUACGUG